rnacentral:miRNA from 1 species
UGACAAGAGUGGCUCCAGUUAAUCAGCAUGGUCUUAAGAUAAUAUCAUUGCUUAAGAUUGGCAAAAAGUUAUCUAUCAUCUUGAGACCAUGUUGAUUAACCGGAGUCCCUCUUGUC